UACGUAGGGCGCAAGCGUUGUCCGGAAUUAUUGGGCGUAAAGAGCUCGUAGGCGGUUUGUCGCGUCUGCUGUGAAAACCUAAGGCUCAACCUUGGGCUUGCAGUGGGUACGGGCAGACUAGAGUGCGGUAGGGGUGACUGGAAUUCCUGGUGUAGCGGUGAAAUGCGCAGAUAUCAGGGAGGGAACACCGGUGGCGAAGGCGGGUCUCUGGGCCGAUACUGACGCUGGAGGAGCGAAAGCGUGGGGAGCGAACAGG
rnacentral:rRNA from 1 species